rnacentral:rRNA from 1 species
GAUGAACGCUGGCGGCGUGCUUAACACAUGCAAGUCGAACGGAAAGGCUCCUGCUUGCAGGGGUACUCGAGUGACGAACGGGUGAGUAACACGUGGGUGAUCUGCCCUGCACUUCGGGAUAAGCCUGGGAAACUGGGUCUAAUACCGGAUAGGACGAUGGUUUGGAUGCCAUUGUGGAAAGUUUUUUCGGUGUGGGAUGAGCUCGCGGCCUAUCAGCUUGUUGGUGGGGUAAUGGCCUACCAAGGCGUCGACGGGUAGCCGGCCUGAGAGGGUGUACGGCCACAUUGGGACUGAGAUACGGCCCAGACUCCUACAGGAGGCAGCAGUGGGGAAUAUUGCACAAUGGGCGCAAGCCUGAUGCAGCGACGCCGCGUGGGGGAUGACGGCCUUCGGGUUGUAAACUCCUUUCGCUAGGGACGAAGCGCAAGUGACGGUACCUGGAGAAGAAGCACCGGCUAACUACGUG